UUCAGUCAAAUAUAAUAACUCUCCAUUUAAUUAUACAGUCACGAUGAAUUGUUAAUCGAGAAUUCGUUAGUAUUUAUACGCCUCUUCCGAUGGUCAUAUAAACAUAUCCUUUCUAAAUGCACCACAAUGGGAAUAAAAUCGAAAAGGAACAUCCUAGCUAAAUAACUCACUAUAUUCCUAUGCGAAUUAAAUUAAUAUAAAUUUUAAGCAUAGAUUCUCCAAUUGGUUACACAUGGCAUAUAGGUAUAUCCCUAUCCUAUACACGAAUCAUGGAUUUCAUCACAUGCAGAAAAAACCAACAUAUGUUAUCGUAUUUAGAUCUAAGUUUAUAAUCCAUCUCCCAAUGUAAAUAUAGAUUGUCCCAUUAAUUACUAGCUAGUUAAUUAAAACAUGAACGCACAAAAUAUGAUAAACUAAUUCAUAUGGUGCCAAUCAAAUAAAAAGAAAACCAAUUUAAACUAUAUAUGAGAUUCCAUUAAAAACUUAAAUUAAAAACAUGUUCAUAGCAGAUAAAAUUAAAAUCCACAAAAUAUUUUGCAUCAAUGAAAGACAAAAAUAAAUAAUGGUUUAGAGAAGAAAAAUUGUCACCCGCAAAUCUUCUAUCUCCAAGCUUCAUCAAUCCAUGACUUCCAUCUUUGAUGAUAUCUUGCUUGUCCUUGAACUUGGAAGAGAAUUAGCCUCACAUUUUGUUCAUUGGCUUUUUCCCAACAACUUUUACAAUCCCAAAAUAAGACUAUUUAUAGAAGUUUAUUUUCCCUAACCCUAAUAGAAUUGCAAUCCUAAUUAAAUUUACAUACAUAAUAUCCUAAUUUUAAUAAAAUACUAUAAUACAAUUCUUUUUCCAAAUCUACAAUUAAUUCCCAUGCAAAAAUUAGGCUUUACAACAUCCAAAUCCUAGUAAAAAUUAUAAAUUCUUGACCCAACUGGAAAGAGUUUUCGUCCACUUUCUGCCUUUCAAUGCCCCAUCAUUCAAAUCUUUCACAAAAUGAAUGCCCAGUAUUCAACUUCCACUUAUUUAUGAAAUUGUCACUGCUUUCCCAAAAUUGUCAGAUUUAUCCUUUCUUUGCCUAUUCUACAAAAUAACAUAAAAAGUAAAUAAAAUGCACUAAAAUUAUUCAAAACAAGCAUAAAACUAAGUCCAAAAGCAUCUGAUUCAUUGAUAUAUUUUCCACUCAUAAAUCGGCAUUCAGAUUUAAGAGUAAAUUGUCUUCUAAGGCAAGUCUCUUUUAAAUGGUGGCCUAAAUUUGAUAAAAACAGGAUAGGUAAAGAUGUUGAGUAACCUACACCGCCACAAAGUUAUGAUAUUGAAUGAAUAUGAAGCUUCUCAGAAAAAUCUAAAAUCUGCCCUCAAGGGAAUUCCGAGAAAUGAGAUUUUAGACUUUCUAAAAACUCAUAGUGGCAGGAUAUAUAGCGAUGAUGACGAAGAAUCUUCCAACAAUCUUUUUGGUGGUACCUGCUCUCAGCCUAAAUAAAUCAAGUGUACUUGUUUUUUGCCUAAAUAAUUCAGGCUUGCUUAGUGGAGCAAGUGGUGCUGGGAAUCCGAAGCUUAAAGUCAAAAGGUGAUGGUCCCAAUCUUUGUCUUUUUCCUACUGUCUGAACGACUCCAGUCUAUACAGGACACUCGUCACAGCUUUACUUUAGCUUUAUUAAAGUUUGAUUCUGCUUUUUCAAGUGGUGCAUUAUUGUAUUUUUUUUGUAAAAGUUGUGUCUUAUUAUCAUAUUGUCUGUCCAAAGACCUUUAUAAGGACCUUAUUCUCCAGUGUUCAGAGUAUCCGAUUUUACUUUUAGUAUUGUAAGUUUUCUGAAUGUUUGUAAGAUAUUCUUUUCUUCGAGUGUUUUCAAGUUUGAAGUUCUCAAGUUUCAAACCAAUGUAAGUUUGCCCUAUUAAAUAUCAUUCUACUUAUCCCUUCCUCUGAUUAUUGUUUGUUUUAAAUUUUCUAUAGUUUUUUGGCCUAUUUGGUAUCAUAAUAAAUGUGUAAAGGCUUUGAUUUUGCUCGCUAUUUCUCUAUGAUCUUAUAGAAAAGAUGGUUUAUUACCAUUAUAAUAAAAUUUAAUUGUACUUUAAUCUCUAUUAUUAAUGUCAAUAAGUGAAUUUUGUAGUUUAGAAAUCUAGAAUGUUUGGUAAAAGCAAUGAAAUACUACUAAAAGGUUAAUGAAUUCUUCAAGGAUUUCAUCAUGUUCAAGGCAAUCCUUGGGGUUUCCAAUAUUGUUCUCAAUAUUGGAAAUACUAAUACUUCCUCCGUCCGUUCUAUAUUGUUAUCAUUUUUUUACUUUUUAAAAUCAACUUUAAGAGAUUUUUAAAUUUAAAAUAUACAUAAAUUCUUUAAAUUUUAAUCAAUACAAUAAUAAAUACUAUAAACUAUUUAAAAAAACAUUACUUAUUAUAAAUUUUAUUAUUUUAAAAUUUUUAAUGAGUCAUCUUAAUUUUAAAAUUAAAAAUAUCUCAAACUGAUUUUCAAAACUCAAUAAUCAUUAAUAGAACCAUCUAUUAUUGCUUAUACAUAAAAAUAGAAUGAUUUUAUCCAUCUAUAAACCAUGCUACAAAUUUAACAUUUGUUUGAAUAGAUUUUACGCCAAUAUAUAGAUGUUGUCGCUAGCCCUAAAAUAUGGAUUCCAUAGUAGACUUUGCGCAUGAAAUUGUUCCCCACAACCGCAAAUCAAAUCACUUGAGCUGUUCCGGUAAAUGGUCAGGGGAGUUUUUGACAUCAAAUGCGGGAGAUGCUUUUAUCAACACUGAUAAGAAGUUGGCCAACAAAGUCCUAGACUGUCUUAAAGAUGAUGAAAUUAAAAGAGCCAUAAAUUCAGGGAAUAAGUCUCCGAGCUUGAUACAUAACUUCAUCAUUAAUAAAAGGACGUAGAGACCACAUCAGGCAAUAGCUCUCCAGUUCUUCGGACGAUGAUUUGAGAUUAAGAGACGAAACAAUCUUUUCCUAUCACAAAGAAAUGGCCCGAUCAAGCAGGUAUCUUAAGAUGCAAAUAUAUAUUUUCUCCAUUUUAAAAAAGUUGGGCAAAAGAUGGAGAUGUCGAUUCUUUUCUAAAAUUGGAAUACCAAAGAAUGGGAAAGUUUAUUACCUGCAUCAAGUAAUCUUGCUUCACUAAAAUUGGAAUACCAAAGAAUGGGAAAGUUUAUUACCUGCAUCAAGUAAUCUUGCUUCACCAUACUGUAUAUAAUGGCCACCGUGGCUGCAUAAUCAGUAAUUUCAGGUUUCUGAAAAUCUGAAGACACCGUUAUUUCCUAAAGAAUACAUAAGCAGUCUGAAGUUAUAUUGCAAUCUUAAAUACAUAUUUCAAAUUAUCCUGUUGAUUAUGCAAAACUCUGUUCAAAAGGAGAGAUCACGUUACGUUUAGACUAUGUUCAAAAGGAGAUCACAUCACAUUAGUUGUACAUUAUAGUUGUAACAUUUGCAAAACAAACAACUUUCGCCACAGUUUAGGCAGGAAUUUUAAAGAAACAAAGAACCAAGCAAAUUUUGAGAAUUCAAAAGUUAAAUGUUCAUAAAUGUACAAAUCCUCGAGUGUGUGUGAGAGUGAGCGUCAGUGUGUGCGUGCGUGAGUGUGAGACAAAGACAAAGGCAGAGACACAGAAUGAAAAACAGCUUAUAUAAAUGAUGACACAUUUAUAAUAUUUAGUUUAAUUCAAUAUAAUUCUUAAAUUUAUGUUUAUUUUCUUAAGUUUUAAUAUUGAAUUAAAUUCUUGAAAUUUUAAAUUUUAUUAUUUAAUAGCAAUCUUGUUUAUGAAUAAAACUAAUACGUUAAAAAUAUGUUUGAACUUUGAACAAUUGCAUGUUUGUGUUUGAACUUUGACAUUAGCAAUAUGGAUGUUUUUGAACUUUAAACAAAAACCUUUAUUAUCUUUAUUAUAAAUUGUUUUGCUUUAUAUUAUUGUUUUGUUUAAAUAAAUGUAAGAUAAAAUAUUAAAAUUGGCUUACAAUAAAAAAUCCCGCCCAGGGCCCCUCGGCCGCCCGCCUCCCGCCUUUUAGAACAUUGCAUAACAUAGAUAGUAAAACCAGGAAACUACCUUGUCAUAGGUAGUUGCUACUACAUCCAACACAUGACUAGUAUCCUCAUGAAGCAAAUUUGCCAAAUUUUCACUAGAAGUUCUCAGCACGGCACUUGCAUCAUUGACAAGGCAUUCAAGUUCGUUGACUACAUCUUUUGCUGCAAUUACCAAAAUUAAGUUCAAACUUUAUUUUAUUUAUAUUUUGAAAAGAAACAUGAUAAUAUAUAAUACAGAAAGUUGCAAAAGAAAUUAAGUUUUCUCAGCGGGGUAAGAAAAGCAAAACUGCAUUAUAAUCCAAACAAAACAGAACAUUUCAUACCAUAAAGAAAACAUAUUAUAUACCAAAUAAGCCACACAACGCAUUCUAGCUCCAAAAACCAUAUUCUAGACUAACAAAUUAACCAUUUACAACACGUGGUAGCAUUAUGACCUAUUACUAACUGUUGGCACCUCAACCUUUUUAUUGGUGACCAUGGUCUACUUGAAUAUUCAACCAAAAAAAUAGCAUUCUUAAUUAGGACUUCACAAAACCAUACAAAGACCAAAAUGCCCAAAGUAUAAUAUUCAAAAAAUUAUGCACCUAUAUGAUUAUGAAUCAGCAAUGUUGGAGAAGAGAUUAUAAAGUUUGCUCAUGAAACGGGCAUGCAGCGUACAGUGCAUAAUCCAAACAUUAUAUGCUAGGUUGGAUUUGUAUGGCUGUUAAUUU
rnacentral:lncRNA from 1 species